CAUAGCAAUGGAUGAAGAAAAUAAUUAAUGGAAAAAUCAUUAUUGUAGACAUCUGAUUAAAGAAAAAAAUAAAGAAAUUAAGACUAUGAAAUUCUUUUUCCUGGUUUUUUAACGGCGUCGAUUAUAACCAUAAUGAUGAAGAUGCGGUUUUUGAAUGAAAUUGAAAAAAUUGGCACAAAAUUUUGAAAACAUGACUAAUAAUAAACGUGAUGGUAAUUUCCGUUUGGACCAUGCUGCAUAUAAUACGGAUUCGCAUACCACAAACCAUUCUCACGUUUGGUAAACGGACGAUAAAACGCAGAAUAUGAAUGGUUUAUUUUAGCUUCAACAUUGUAUAGAGGGGGAAACUGGCAUGUUUCUUUACGAUUAUAAUGAUUUCUACUUUUUCGGUGAUUAAUUUGUGGAAUCCAAGUUUUAGCUCCGGGGUUCAUGCGAGAAGUAUUUGCUCGAACUUUCAAAGGAAGUUCUUUUCGGAGGUAUUCUUCUCGGGCUUUAAGCGCAACUAAUAAUUAAUAAUUUAACAUAAAUUAGUCUACUUACGCUCAUGCUUUAACUGCAUUACCGGAAUGCUCAUUGUGUCGACAGCAAUAGCCUUUUGCAAGCAAACUAUGAGAUGUGUUAAAAGAUGUGAAUGGUUCGUUUAUUACCUUCAAUUUUGUCUUCCAUUGUCAAAUUAUCAGCAUGUAUAUGUGAAAUCAAUUAUAAUAAAGGAUCUCAAAAUAAUUUGAAUAGUUUCCAAAAUUUCAAUCAAUUUCGAGAAAUGAUGGUAAAAGGAGCUAUAUUAUAUAUUUGUGCUUCGUCAAAACAAAAUGAGUUAUAAAUUGCACCGAUAUUACUUCUAUGACCAAUUUCAUAUUUGUUUACACAUGUGACUAUCAUGUGGUAAACAAUCGAUUCCAAAAGCGUUUUUGUAAACAACAACUACUACCUUUAUAAUCAAUCAUUAACGAGUAAAGGAAUUGAGGCUAACUCUUCAUAAUACAUAUUACCCGGUUCUCCAACAGCGCCUGUUUUCAUAAUACUUAGUUUAUCAAGUUCAAUAUUAUGAGCCCAAAGAAAUUGACCGUAUUUUUCCAUAAAAGGUUCCGAAUUAAAAAACCUGAUACGUCGCCCCUGGUAUUUUAUAUACCUGGAAUUUAACAAGGUGCAGUGUAGCUAGUUUUGUUAGCAAAAUUAUAAUUUGGUUAACAUCGCAUAAUGCGUACAGUAAGAGGUCUAGCGUCUUUAGU